rnacentral:rRNA from 1 species
AUUGAACGCUGGCGGCAGGCCUAACACAUGCAAGUCGAACGGUAACAGGAAGAAGCUUGCUUCUUUGCUGACGAGUGGCGGACGGGUGAGUAAUGUCUGGGAAACUGCCUGAUGGAGGGGGAUAACUACUGGAAACGGUAGCUAAUACCGCAUAACGUCGCAAGACCAAAGAGGGGGACCUUCGGGCCUCUUGCCUUCGGAUGUGCCCAGAUGGGAUUAGCUAGUAGGUGGGGUAACGGCUCACCUAGGCGACGAUCCCUAGCUGGUCUGAGAGGAUGACCAGCCACACUGGAACUGAGACACGGUACAGACUCCUACGGGAGGCAGCAGUGGGGAAUAUUGCACAAUGGGCGCAAGCCUGAUGCAGCCAUGCCGCGUGUAUGAAGAAGGCCUUCGGGUUGUAAAGUACUUUCAGCGGGGAGGAAGGGAGUAAAGUUAAUACCUUUGCUCAUUGACGUUACCCGCAGAAGAAGCACCGGCUAACUCCGUG